UACAGAGGUCUCAACCGUUGUUCGGAUUCAUUGGGCGUAAAGGGUGCGUAGGCGGUCGCGCAAGUCGGAUGUGAAAUCUCAGGGCUCAACCCUGAAACUGCAUUCGAUACUGCGCGGCUAGAGUGCUGGAGGGGAGACUGGAAUUUACGGUGUAGCAGUGAAAUGCGUAGAUAUCGUAAGGAAGACCAGUGGCGAAGGCGAGUCUCUGGACAGCAACUGACGCUGAGGCACGAAGGCCAGGGGAGCGAACGGG
rnacentral:rRNA from 1 species